rnacentral:tRNA from 1 species
GACCCCGUAGCUCAACCGGAUAGAGCAACGGAUUUCUAAUCCGUAGGUUGGCGGUUCAAGUCCGCCCGGGGUCGCCA